CGAGUAAGCCAGACAAUCGCUGCUGACGACAGUCAGGAGAGGAAAGUCCGAGCUCCGCAGGGCAGGGUGCUGGAUAACGUCCAGUCGAGGCGACCCGAAGGAAAGUGCAACAGAGAUAUACCGCCAGAAUUCUUUUUAGAAUGAGUAUGAUAUUUAUAUCAUCUGGUAAGGGUGGAAAGGCGAGGUAAGAGCUCACCAGCGUGAUGGCGACUUCACGGCUCUGUAAACCCCACCUGGAGCAAGAUCGAAUAGAGAGGCAUUAUGGGAUUGCCCGUCCCGCCUCUGGGUGUAUCGCUGGAGCCCAUCGGCAACGUUGGGCCUAGAUAGAUGAUUGUCAAAUACAGAACUCGGCUUAUAGACUUAUCUCGCACA
rnacentral:RNase_P_RNA from 1 species